UACGUAGGGUGCAAGCGUUAUCCGGAAUUAUUGGGCGUAAAGAGCUCGUAGGCGGUUUGCCGCGUCUGCUGUGAAAACUGGAGGCUCAACCUCCAGCCUGCAGUGGGUACGGGCAGACUAGAGUGCGGUAGGGGAGAUUGGAAUUCCUGGUGUAGCGGUGGAAUGCGCAGAUAUCAGGAGGAACACCGAUGGCGAAGGCAGAUCUAUGGGCCGUAACUGACGCUGAGGAGCGAAAGCAUGGGGAGCGAAAAGG
rnacentral:rRNA from 1 species